rnacentral:rRNA from 1 species
UACGUAGGGUGCAAGCGUUGUCCGGAAUUAUUGGGCGUAAAGAGCUCGUAGGCGGUCUGUCGCGUCGGCUGUGAAAACCCGGGGCUCAACCCCGGGCCUGCAGUCGAUACGGGCAGACUAGAGUGCGGUAGGGGAGACUGGAAUUCCUGGUGUAGCGGUGGAAUGCGCAGAUAUCAGGAGGAACACCAAUGGCGAAGGCAGAUCUCUGGGCCGUAACUGACGCUGAGGAGCGAAAGCGUGGGGGAGCGAACAGG